rnacentral:lncRNA from 1 species
CCAGGCAGGCAUGGCAACACUUUUAUUUAAGAUACAAGUGCCUUUCUAUUUUCAGUUUUAAUCUUUCUCUUUCUCUUCAGUCACUUAAGUUUAGUUUUCCUUGGCAGGUAUAAGCAGCUUCAAAUUCUUUCUAGUCUCUAAUGGGCAAAGGGGUUCUAUCAGCCCCUGUACACUUCUAGAUUCUCAGCGACUUCAUUUCUUUCUUUCUUUUUUUGAGACGGAGUCCAGCUGUCGCCCAGGCUGGAGUGCAGUGGUGCAAUCUCAGCUUACUGCAAGCUCCACCUCCCAGGUUCACACCAUUCUCCUGCUUCAACCUCCCGAGUAGCUGAGACUACAGUCUCCUGCCACCACGCCUGGCUAAUUUUUUGUAUUUUAUAGUGGAGAUGGUGUUUCACUGUGUUAGCCAGGAGGUCUCGAUCUCCUGACCUUGUGAUCUGCCCGCCUCGACCUCCCAAAGUGCUGGGAUUACAGGCAUGAGCCACUGCGCCAGGCCCAUUUCAGUUUUAAAAUACACAAAUAAUUUUCUCAUUGCCAUGCCCAUGUAGGCAAAUGAUGACAUCACAAAUGAGUCCAGUUUUUGCCAUUGGUCUGCUGAGGGGCUGAGGAUGUGAGCAGUGCUGACCCUACACUGCGUCACAGGUCCUUUGCAAAAACAAUGCUCAGUUUGACUGCACCCUCCAGAAAAAAAGUUGCAGGAGAAGAACUUUUAUUUUGUUUCCAAGCCCACCGAAGCACAGUGGCCUCAUCAGAACCAAGACGACCAACCUUCUCCAGAGAAUGGACUUCUGUUGGGAGACUCUCCUCUUUCUACAAACAAAAUGGCCAGCUUGUUGAGAAUUUUUAGUACCAUUUGCAGAGCUCUCCAUAAUGUGAUACAGACUCUGGCCUGAAGAAAGCACAAAAUAAACAUGAACAAAUCAUAACUGUGCUUCAGUAGGAUCACCGAGAGCCAAGAUACAGAUUUGUGAGAUAACUACAAGUAUGUAUUUCUGUAUAUUCCACUUUAUGAAAUAACUCUUGCAUAAUCUUUGUGACAGACACUUUUUAUUUUCUAUGCCACAAGUGUGUCUCCUGCUUUGUUCUCUGAGGAUGAUGUCUGGAAAGUCUAACCUUAAUGUGUCUCCCAGAGAAUCUGUGCAAGAUGGUGCCGAGGUUGGAAUUAAGCGGAAACCAUGCCCUUUACUUGUUCUGAA